rnacentral:rRNA from 1 species
GAUGAACGCUGGCGGCGUGCCUAAUACAUGCAAGUCGAGCGAACGGACGAGAAGCUUGCUUCUCUGAUGUUAGCGGCGGACGGGUGAGUAACACGUGGAUAACCUACCUAUGAGACUGGGAUAACUUCGGGAAACCGGAGCUAAUACCGGAUGAUAUUUUGAACCGCAUGGUUCAAAAGUGAAAGACGGUCUUGCUGUCACUUAUAGAUGGAUCCGCGCUGCAUUAGCUAGUUGGUAAGGUAACGGCUUACCAAGGCAACGAUGCAUAGCCGACCUGAGAGGGUGGUCGGCCACACUGGAACUGAGACACGGUCCAGACUCCUACGGGAGGCAGCAGUAGGGAAUCUUCCGCAAAGGGCGGAAGCCUGACGGAGCAACGCCGCGUGAGUGAUGAAGGUCUUCGGAUCGUAAAACUCUGUUAUUAGGGAAGAACAUAUGUGUAAGUAACUGUGCACAUCUUGACGGUACCUAAUCAGAAAGCCACGGCUAACUACGUG